CCCUUAGAUGUUCUGGGCCGCACGUGCGCUACACUGAUGAAUUCAACGAGCACUAACCUGUGCCGAAAGGUUCGGGUAAUCUUGUGAAAUUUCAUCGUGAUGGGGAUUGAUUAUUGCAAUUUUUAAUCAUAAACGAGGAAUGCCUAGUAAGCGUGAGUCAUCAGCUCACGUUGAUUACGUCCCUGCCCUUUGUACACACCGCCCGUCGCUCCUACCGAUUGAAUGUGCCAGUGAAAAGUUCGGAUUGGAGAUAGGAAACGGCAACGUAUCCUAUUUCCGAGAAAAUCUUUAAACUUUCCCAUUUAGAGGAAGGAGAAGUCGUAACA
rnacentral:rRNA from 1 species